GAUGAACGCUAGCGGCAGGCCUAAUACAUGCAAGUCGAGGGGUAGAGCUAGCUUGCUAGCUUGAGACCGGCGCACGGGUGCGUAACGCGUAUGCAACCUACCCUUUUCUGGGGGAUAGCCCGGAGAAAUCCGGAUUAAUACCGCAUAAGACCACGAUACGGCAUCGUGAUGUGGUCAAACAUUUAUGGGAGAAGGAUGGGCAUGCGUGCCAUUAGCUAGUUGGCGGGGUAACGGCCCACCAAGGCGAUGAUGGCUAGGGGAUCUGAGAGGAUGGCCCCCCACACUGGUACUGAGACACGGACCAGACUCCUACGGGAGGCAGCAGUAAGGAAUAUUGGUCAAUGGGGGCAACCCUGAACCAGCCAUGCCGCGUGCAGGACGACGGCCCUCCGGGUUGUAAACUGCUUUUGUACGGGAAUAAACCCCGCUACGUGUAGUGGGCUGAAUGUACCGUAAGAAUAAGGAUCGGCUAACUCCGUGCCAGCCGCCGCCGUAAAAC
rnacentral:rRNA from 1 species